GAUCCUGGCUCAGGACGAACGCUGGCGGCGUGCUUAACACAUGCAAGUCGAACGGUGAAGGAGAGCUUGCUCUCCGGAUCAGUGGCGAACGGGUGAGUAACACGUGAGCAACCUACCCUUGACUCUGGGAUAACAGUUGGAAACAGCUGCUAAUACCGGAUACGACCCCAGCAGGCAUCUGCCGGGGUGGAAAGCUCCGACGGUCAAGGAUGGGCUCGCGGCCUAUCAGCUAGUUGG
rnacentral:rRNA from 1 species